rnacentral:lncRNA from 1 species
UAUGAUUGGUGUUCCUGGUGAAAACUAGUGAAGCUAGAAGAUGCUAUGAGAAGGAACUUGCCAAGACUAUUUGAAGAACAGCCUGAUCUCCUGCAUGAGGGUAACAUUUUUAUUUUGUGUAAUGACCUAGUAAUUAUGAUAACAUGAACUCAUUGUUUGCAACGUAACCUAGUAAAUGCUUUUAGGAACUAGAGUUCAUGUGGACUGGAAACUACUCCCUCCGUCCGGAAAUACUGGUCGGAAAAAUGGAUGUAUCUAGAACUAAAGUACGUCUAGAUACAUCCAUUCCUCCGACAAAUAUUUCUGGACGGAGGGAGUACUUAGCAUCCUUCAAUGAAUC